rfam:Bombyx mori DNA, contig: Bm_scaf3_contig3241, strain: p50T/Dazao, build 2, whole genome shotgun sequence.
UUUCUCUAAAUGAUGAUUUCAUAGUUCAUCUGAAUGCUAUGAUGUAUUACUGUAUUGUCUUUCGCUCCUAUCUGAUUGAUCAU